rnacentral:rRNA from 5 species
CCCCGGUAAACGGCGGCCGUAACUAUAACGGUCCUAAGGUAGCGAAAUUCCUUGUCGGGUAAGUUCCGACCUGCACGAAUGGCGUAAUGAUGGCCAGGCUGUCUCCACCCGAGACUCAGUGAAAUUGAACUCGCUGUGAAGAUGCAGUGUACCCGCGGCAAGACGGAAAGACCCCGUGAACCUUUACUAUAGCUUGACACUGAACAUUGAGCCUUGAUGUGUAGGAUAGGUGGGAGGCUUUGAAGUGUGGACGCCAGUCUGCAUGGAGCCGACCUUGAAAUACCACCCUUUAAUGUUUGAUGUUCUAACGUGGACCCGUAAUCCGGGUUGCGGACAGUGUCUGGUGGGUAGUUUGACUGGGGCGGUCUCCUCCUAAAGAGUAACGGAGGAGCACGAAGGUUGGCUAAUCCUGGUCGGACAUCAGGAGGUUAGUGCAAUGGCAUAAGCCAGCUUGACUGCGAGCGUGACGGCGCGAGCAGGUGCGAAAGCAGGUCAUAGUGAUCCGGUGGUUCUGAAUGGAAGGGCCAUCGCUCAACGGAUAAAAGGUACUCCGGGGAUAACAGGCUGAUACCGCCCAAGAGUUCAUAUCGACGGCGGUGUUUGGCACCUCGAUGUCGGCUCAUCACAUCCUGGGGCUGAAGUAGGUCCCAAGGGUAUGGCUGUUCGCCAUUUAAAGUGGUACGCGAGCUGGGUUUAGAACGUCGUGAGACAGU